UCCCUCACAGACCCUGUCCAUGAUAGCCGUAGGGAGUAGGGGACACUCAAGGCAGUCAACUGGCUCAGUUCCCUACCUGGCUUCAGUCAAGCAAGCCCUUCUCCUCAGGGGUGAAAGGAUGGCAAAAACAUUGGAAUCUGCCCUGGAAACUUCUGCAGGAAAGGAGCCAUACUUGUUUCUACAAAUGGCAUUCUAGAUUUGCCUGUGUCUGCAAGCACUGACUCAACAUACUGCUUCUGAAUGACAAGACUGUGCCCUCAGCGUUGCAAUCAGAGCAGCACCAGCUGGGAUCCCCUCAAAAUAUUCCAAGCUUAUGACAGUGAGCUAGCUAUCUGAUGGAAACAGAGGUGGGACAUUUGGGUGUAUCUUCCUGCUUAAGCUGCUGCUGCUGUCAUAUUUUUGGAUAGAAAGAAUUGAAGAAACGAAGGACUAUCUCUGUGAAGCAGUCUGGGAAAUUUGUCACUGUGACAGACGUUGGGUAGAUGUGAGGGAGCCUUGAAGAGACAGGGCCUGGGCAGCAUCCUGUCCACGUCUGCACAGCUGGAAGAGUGCUGCACCAUCUAACAUCCCCGAUGCCUAUCUCAGUGCCUGGCACACAGACAGUGCCUACCAAAUGUUUGUUGAAUAAACAGGAGUGCCAACCUACUCCCGCAAAUCAUCACAGAGAAGAGGAGCUGCUAACAUGGGAAUCAGAAAGAAAACCAUCCACAGUCUGUAGCUGGGGUUUUUGUUGAAGCAGGACACCAGGCUCCACCCCCACCCGUCUCUGCCUUGUUCCUUCAGGGCAGUCUCAAACCCUGGGCUCGCCCUGUGCUGAAUCAAUUUCUGUGUUUGCUAAUAUUUCCCUUGUCCUUCUGCUACAUGUUCAAUCUGACAGGCUGUCACCAUGAGUAAGUAAUUCAACACUGUCUUCACUUUGAGAUAAUCAAGAGCUCAGGGGGUAGCUUUUUAAGUACAAACUUUAAAAAAUAUAUUAAAUUCCAAAAACAUAUG